rnacentral:rRNA from 1 species
GACGUAGGGCGCGAGCGUUGUCCGGAUUUAUUGGGCGUAAAGAGCUCGUAAGCGGUUUGUCGCGUCGUUCGUGAAAACUCACAGCUUAACUGUGAGCUUGCGGUCGAUACGGGCAGGCUAGAGUUCGGUAGGGGAGACUGGAAUUCCUGGUGUAGCGGUGAAAUGCGCAGAUAUCAGGAGGAACACCGGUGGCGAAGGCGGGUCUCUGGGCCGAUACUGACGCUGAGGAGCGAAAGCGUGGGGAGCGAACAGG